AUGAGAAGGAUGAAGACCCAAACCGCUGUCCAUCUGAUGUGGCUUCUGAUUUUAGAGCUGCAGUUUGCUUCAUUUACCAAAGGCCUGAAUCAAUUUAUAGUUCCUCAGAAUCUGACCUCGGAGACCGGAAAAACUGUCACCUUUGAAUGUGGUGUCGGUGGAUUGAAUGGGCAAAAAAUCUGGUUUUACAUUAUGGGUCCAAAGGUCAAUGAUUCUAUGGCAUGUCCAGGAGACAAAACCAAAUACUUACCUGCUCAGUCAAUGAAAUCUUACUGUUAUACAAAAUCUAGUGGAGACGUAGCUGCUUGGGAAGUCGCAGGAACAUCAGAAGAUGAUAAUGGCACUAUUUUUUUGUGCAAGGUCAAUGGUUUAGAUGACAAAAUCGGACACCUUUAUGUGUACGGUAUGUUACUAGCAAUUAAAUGUGUGUGUGUGUGUGUGUGUGUGUGUGUGUGAAUGUGAACAGACACUUGUCUUCAUGUCUCUCUCUCUCUGUGUUCCUUUUAGCGAAUGAUUCUUACUAUGCAAAGCUCAUUGGAUACGUGAUUGGAGGAUUUUUAGCUGCCCUCAUUACCAUAGUUGUGGCUUAUGUCCUGUUGAAAAGAUCAGAGAAAGUACAGCAUUGCUUCAGUAAGUUUCUCAUUACUCGUAAACUUGCACAUGUAGUGCACAUUAUAUUAACUCAAGUAUGUGACCCUGGACCACAAAACCAGUCUUAAGCUGCUGGGGUAUAUUUGUAGAAAUAGUUAAAAAUAAAUUGUAUGGGUCAAAAUGAUUGAUUUUUCUUUUAUGCCAAAAAUCAUUAGGAUAUUAAGUAAAGAUCAUGUUCCAUGAAGAUAUUUUGUAAAUUUCCUGCUGUAAAUAUAUUAAAACUUAAUUUUUGAUUAGUAAUAUGCAUUGCUAAGUACUUCAUUUGGACAACUUUAAAGGCGAUUUUUCUCAAUAUUUAGAUUUUUUUGCACCCUCAGAUUCCAGAUUUUCAAAUAGUUGUAUCUCGGCCAAAUAUUGUCCUAUCCUAACAUAUGAUGUAUAAGUCUCAAUUUCAAAAAAAUGUACCCUUAUGACUGGUUUUGUGGUCCAAGGUCACAUAUAUCUAAUUCAAAUGAAGAGAUUUUGAGUUACAAACAGUUUCUAAAGUUUGGUCUUGUUUUUAGGGUCGGUGGGAGGAAUCCAAGAUGACAUGCAAUCGGCACAAUCUAAGCAAUAUUGAAACCCCUCUCAUGCUCCUUAUGAUCUGAUAAUUAUAAUUAUAAUAUAGCACACACACCAUAAUAUAAUAUAUGUAAUAUACAGCAUAACAGCAAUUAGUUUCUAUAGAUUUGAAAGAAGGCCUGUGUUUCUCAGGUUUCAGUCUUGUCCAGUAGAGGGCGUCUUCACUUCUCUGGUCAUAACCAUUAAUGUUUUUGUUUCUAAUGUUCUUGGUUCAAAAUCUUUGUUUAUUAGUAUUUUUUUUUGUUUGUUUUUUUGGUCAUGGAGAAACAUUUUUAUUAACUAUCAUAACUGUAUUUCCAUUUCUAACCCUAACUUACACUAAAUUAAGAGGGAUUUUGAUCCAAGAAUAUGUUGGCUAAUCCACUUUAAUCAUCAAGCAACUCCACCUAUUAAUAAUGUAUAUCUUACAAAUACAAACACUGGAACAUGUAAUCGUGGAUCUGCUGUUUAAUGAAUAGUCAAGUACUCUGUGUCAUUGUCAUGCUGUUUACAAUAUACAUUUUAUUUAGUUAGCUAUUUUUUAUUUUCAGUUCAAUGUAAAUUGUGCACAACUUUGACUGAUUUAAUUUCAUUUUAUACUGCUUUAAGUGGCUAAAUGACAAAAUUCACAGCACACAAACUGAGGGUAGCUUUGAGUAGAUCAAUAGUAGAUGGGUCAAUAUUGACACAGGUGGUUCGCUGCACCCUGGAACGGCCGUGUUUCUAUUCUACUAUGCUAUCAAUCCAUGAGCAUUUAGUUUUAAAGUUUGGCUCAGAAAAUGUGCGUUUAAGCCUGUUUUGAAGCUUUGACUAUUUGCAUAUGUGCUCCAGCAUUUGUAAACACUCAAGACGUAACAUUACAGCACACAACAACCAUCUGCUUUAGCUCACAGUCAGAUUUAAGUUUCAUGUUGAAUGAUAUUUUCACCAUAUGCUUAUAUCAAUUAAAAUUUUUAACAUUAUUGUAAACAUCUGAAAUGUAGAUGAGAACAUUUCAAAUCAGAUUAGACAGUCAAAUCUAAAACAUUUAUUUUGUUAUUUUUGUUUUCAUUUUGCCUUUAUUUUAAUGCUUUGUUUUCUUUAGAGACUCAAACACAUAAAAAAUAAUCAGAGUAAUUUAAUUAACCUAUUAUUUUCAUUUCAAAUUCUUGUAAUAUGUUCAACUGCAUCUGUCAAAACAGAUAUUAUUGAGGCUUUUACUCUCUGUUUUAUCAGCAUGUACUUUUCAUGAAGGUGAUUAUCUUGUAUAGAGAUUUUUAUUUGGGGUCAGUUUGACCCCAGUAAAAAUAUAUUUUAAAAUAAUACAAUA
ensembl:lncRNA